UACGGAGGACGCGAGCGUUAUCCGGAUUCAUUGGGUUUAAAGGGUGCGCAGGCGGCUCGUCAAGUCAGCGGUGAAAGCCCGGGGCCCAACCCCGGAAGUGCCGUUGAUACUGUCGGGCUGGAAUGCGGUCGGGGCGGGCGGAACGUGGCGUGUAGCGGUGAAAUGCGUAGAUAUGCCACAGAACGCCGUUGGCGGAGGCGGCUCGCCAGGCCUGCAUUGACGCUCGGGCACGAAAGCGUGGGGAUCGAAC
rnacentral:rRNA from 1 species